rnacentral:rRNA from 1 species
UACGUAGGGGGCAAGCGUUGUCUGGAAUCAUUGGGCGUAAAGAGCGUGUAGGCGGCCAGAUAAGUCCGCUGUGAAAUCUCGAGGCUCAACUUCGAGCUGUCGGUGGAAACUGUCUGGCUAGAGUCCGGAAGAGGAGAAUGGAAUUCCUGGUGUAGCGGUGAAAUGCGCAGAUAUCAGGAAGAACACCCGUGGCGAAGGCGGUUCUCUGGGACGGUACUGACGCUGAGACGCGAAAGCGUGGGGAGCGAACAGG